rnacentral:rRNA from 1 species
ACGCUCGACACCACGGGAGGAGCAGUGGGGAAUAUUGCACAAUGGGGGAAACCCUGAUGCAGCAACGCCGCGUGAAGGAAGACGGUUUUCGGUAUUGUAAACUUACUGUUCUUAGUGAAGAUAGUGACGGUAGCUAAGGAGCAAGCCACGGCUAACUACGUGCUAGCAGCCGCGGUAAUCUGAGCGGGCUGGCAAGGC